UACGUAGGGUGCGAGCGUUGUCCGGAAUUACUGGGCGUAAAGAGCUCGUAGGUGGUUUGUCGCGUUGUUCGUGAAAACUCACAGCUCAACUGUGGGCGUGCGGGCGAUACGGGCAGACUAGAGUACUGCAGGGGAGACUGGAAUUCCUGGUGUAGCGGUGGAAUGCGCAGAUAUCAGGAGGAACACCAAUAGCGAAGGCAGCUCGCUGGGACGGUACUGACGCUAAGGCGCGAAAGCGUGGGGAGCGAACAGG
rnacentral:rRNA from 1 species